rnacentral:rRNA from 1 species
AGCAGCCGCGGUAAUUCCAGCUCCAAUAGCGUAUAUUAAAGUUGUUGCAGUUAAAAAGCUCGUAGUUGAAUUUCGGGAUCAAUACGUCGGUCGUGCUUCGGUACGUACUGGCGUAAUUGAUUUCUCCCUUCUGACGAACCAUGAUGUCAUUAACUUGGUGUCAUGGGAAAUCAGGACUGUUACUUUGAAAAAAUUAGAGUGUUUAAAGCAGGCUCACGCUUGAAUACAUUAGCAUGGAAUAAUGAAAUAGGACGUUCGAUCCUAUUUUGUUGGUUUUUAGGAUCAACGUAAUGAUUAAUAGGGAUAGUUGGGGGCAUUAGUAUUCAAUUGUCAGAGGUGAAAUUCUUGGAUUUAUUGAAGACUAACUACUGCGAAAGCAUUUGCCAAGGAUGUUUUCAUUAAUCAAGAACGAAAGUUAGGGGAUCGAAGACGAUCAGAUACCGUCGUAGUCUUAACCAUAAACUAUGCCGACUAGGGAUCGGAUGAUGUUAAUUUUUAAUGUACUCAUU